ensembl:lncRNA
CUCUCAGGGUCUGCGUGGAUGAUAAUGGCUUCUUCAGGUGUCUCCGGGAGCCUAGUUCAAUUAAUAGCAUUUUGCUUCUUGACACUGGGUAGGAGGCUCAUGCAGAAAGGUUCUCCUUCUCCUUCAGCUGUACCCCAGCCAGCCAAACUAUGCUGCGUUCUCCACCUACGCACAAGUGUAGCGUGACAGACACUGACCACAUGUGGGGCACGGGGAGGAUGGCCUUUUGCAGCAGUGGAAGGACAUAUUGAUUGACUGUGGUGAUUGCGAUGGUGUUUGGGGAACCUUGCAGAACAGCUGGAUCCAGCUUCAGACCCCUGACCAGUGGCACUGCUGCCAGUCCCAUUUUGAUGAGAUGCUUCAUCUUUGCUGGGCUGAACCCCAUAGAGCCCUGCCCUCAGCCCUGCUCCUCCUUUUAUUUUUUAUGUGUGACUUCUUUAGCCUUAAUCUGUAAUUUUUCUGCCAUGGAGAUGGUGCCAACACGUAAAUAACAUAAACAGAACCGGGAGAGUCCUCUAAUGCCUCUCUGCAGUGAGGUUUCUCAGAGCCCAGCUGGAUUUUAGGAGCUUGCCUGCACUCAGUGCUGUUCUCUCACCUGAAACCAUAAUAACCAUAAUCCUCUCUUUGUGCUCUCAGUCACUUCCAUGGCAACCAAUUCUGAUGGCCCCAAGGAUUAGAGCUUCAGGAAGGAAAUAAGCAGGGAUGGAAGAAGAAAUAAAAAGGCCCACAAGAAACACUUUGAUCCUGGUUUUAUUAUGGUGGAACAAAUGAGUUCAGAUAAAAUAAAGAGCACUGCUAGCCCUCAGCUGAUCUCCAGACAGUCACCAAGCUGUACAGCUGGCUGGUGGUGAAGUUGGGUUUGUUCCUUCCAUUUCUGUGAAUCAUUGAGUUCUGGCCUCUUGCUGAGCCAAAGCAAGAUGAGGAACACCAUGAGCCUUCUCACCUUGCUAGGCUGACCGUCCACCUAAAACAUCUCAUGUGUGCAAAUGGAUGUUCCUCUAGAAAGACUGCUUGUCAGGUGCUAGUGCACUACAAAAUAUUUUUGCAAAUUCCCAGGAUAAUACAAAUGGACUAAGAGAAGGAGAUGGAUAACAUGUGCUCAGCAGGAUCACAGUGGAUACUGGGAAAAUGAACUGAAAGCUUUCUGAACUUCUGUCCAGAACCAGUAUAAGUAGCUGCAUUAAAGAGAGAUGUUCGGAGCUCCCAGUAACACCUCAUUUCCUCCAGUAAGUCAGCCAAAUCAAACAACUCCAAUAUCUGCAGGCAUAAAUUACAAAAUGGAGAACACUAUGGGGAGAUGUAGCAUGAGCACUUGAGGCACAGCCAGAACAUCUGCAGGAGAUCACUGCCUUGAGAAGCAGAAUAAGUACAAGAACCAUGGGUGCAUUCGUAGAAUCAUAGAAUCCUAGAAGCACAGAAUCAUA